UUUAAAAUUUAAAAUUUGGGUGAUAGAACUUUAAAAUUCUUAGUAUUUUCUCCGUUCUAUAGAAAUAAGUUAUACUCCUUCAUAUCAUUUUGUGACAAUUUUUUUUCUCAUUCUCUUUUACUUUAUCAAUUAUGGAUCCUAUCAUCCACUAGGUUCCCUACACCCAACACCUCCGCCGCCGCCGCCCUGCCCUUGUCUUCGCUUCUCAGCCGCGCAACGCCGCCGGUACAGGUCGCGUCUCCCUCUUCGUCAUCCAAUCUUCUUCACUCCUGAUCUGCACACACACUAAAAAAUUAGACACACGCCGUUGAAACCUAGAAAAUUCCGGCACCCUCUGCUUCGGCCACACCGAUUUUCGAUCGGCGCCGUAGUUUAUCUGUUUCCGACGCCGUUCGGUCGCCAACCUCCGUGCCAUUCUUCCCUUCCUUCUCCGUCAGCCGCACUCUCUCCACUGUAGACCGUCGCUCACACUGUGCACAUAUAUAGAUAAGUAUGGGAUUCUUCGACCGAGGAGUAAUUACUGAUAAGUGGUCCUCUAGGAUCCUUUGGCUCACUGCAUUCGGAAGUGCAGCAGACUGGUAGAAUCAGACAAGGAGUUUCUAUUCGCCAUGAUUCUGGGGUGAAUCUUGGCAGAAUGGCAUCUUAACUGAGCUGAAACAAACUGAAAAAGUGGAAAUGCCUAAUUUUCUCCCACUGAACAUAACCAAGUUAUACUUGUGGAAGAUCCUCCUCGUGGCAAUAGACAUAUCUUGGUAGUGGAGGCAAAAGGGGUGUUAUGUUGUUGCUCGAUAGAUACCUAACCUGACUAGGAGAACAAUGAUCAUGAUAUUACAUGGAGAAUGGAUGUUGGCAGUGCUGCGAUAGAACUAAAAAGACAAGUGAUCUGACUUUUGGCUAAAUCAAGAGCUGGCAAAAAGUUAAAAGUUCGUAAGAUUGUUGGCCUGUUGGGUGGGUUACUUGGUUUGCAUAAGCUGUGUUCCAGUGGCAAACUUGGUUGGUCUGUCCCUGAAUCUUUUCAUGAGAAUCAAAACAUAUAAUUUUUUUAUUCAAGCUGGUUCAGUUUCUCAGUUCUAUGUGGUUUAGCUCCAAAAUAAUACUCCAUGAUGGUAAUUCCACUCAAUUUGUAAGAUGGAGUUUUGAGAUAAAAUACUAGUAUCUAAGAUGUUGCUUGUUC